GUGUGACCAUCGAGGGGCCGGACACUGUGGUCCUGAAGGCUCCCAGGAGCUGUCAGUCAAACCGACAGAGCGAGAAGUCCCUCCCACAGACGGCACAGAGGUUCACCUUCACACAGGUGUUUGAUCCGGAGGCCAGUCAGAAGAAGGUGUUUGACGGUUCAGUUCGUGGUUUGGUGCGAGACGUUCUGGAGGGAGGAAACUGUCUGGUGUUCACGUACGGCGUCACCAACGCUGGGAAAACCUUCACGUUCCUCGGUCCGGACCAUGACUCAGGUCUGUUGCCCCGGUCUCUGUCAGUGAUCUUUAACAGUGUUGACGGUCGUCUGUACAGUCGAGCUGAUCUGAA